rnacentral:lncRNA from 1 species
CUACACGGUACAAUUAAGAAAUCGAAGAUUUCUUAGGUUAACCAACCGAAGAGGCUCCGUAGAGCAGCUCAACAGUAAUGAUCUCCUCUAAUCAUGCACAGCUGGCAAGUGCUUUGGCAUUCACCACCACCCCCGCCCCCCCCCCCCACGGAUGAAACCCUGGAAUCUGCUCUCAGACAAGUGAGAAAUCUGUACAGAGAAAGCUUCUAGCUCAGGUCUUUGAACUAGGAAAACAGGAUGGUUUGACUCUAGAUCUCCACUAUUAAAAAGUUGCCUCGUGUGCACAACCAGCUACACCCAGGAGUGAAAGAUGGUUUUCUACACCAGUGUAAAGAAGUGCACAUUUGGUCAGCAGUGUGCAUCCUCAUGGGUCUUCUCCUUGUCCACAUAGCCACUCCUCCCCCCCAUAUUUAAGACCACUCUUUGGGGGAGGGGACACCUUAGGGAAAGGUGCUUUAGAGGACAUUCAGGCAGAAAACGCUGUCAGCCACACAGGUGGUGAGGAAAAGUAGUCUGGUUGGAGAGAGUGGUCCAGGUUUGAAACUAUCAGAUGUAAGGGCAAAACAAAGGUUUUGAGUGUGCAAACAUGUAGGACAUUUACUGCAUAGGUACUUACACACACACAUACAUACACACACACAUCUUAUUCACUGCAUAGGUACUUACACACAUACACACACACACACACACACACAUCUUAUUCUAGAUAAUUCAGCAAAACAAAAGAGGAUUCAAGAAUAUAUUCCCAAUUUCUAAUAAUGGCAGGCAAAAUUCAGAAGACUAAAGUGCUAGAUAAAGACAUUCUUUUUCUUUAAAGAUUUUUUGAAAGCAGCAAGACAAACACAAAGCCAAAAUGAAAGUAAAAUGAAAAACCANAAUAAUGGCAGGCAAAAUUCAGAAGACUAAAGUGCUAGAUAAAGACAUUCUUUUCCUUUAAAGAUUUUUGAAAGCAGCAAGACAAACACAAAGACAAAGUGAAAGUAAAAUGAAAAACCGAAGAGAUACGAGAGGCAUGGAGUUUGCUUUGUCCCCAAGCGUGUCGACAAUUCUGGCCAACUUGAACUUUUUUAGUGGUCUCCAAGGGCAAGAGAAAGAAUCAACACCAAGGGCUUGCACAGUUAGAGAAAAACAGAAGCCGCUCCCCACAAUGAGGAUCCUAAUGGCUUACACCCCUAGGAUAUCAAAAAAUGGCCAGUGCAUCUCUUCGGUUUUAAUACCUGGAAGACGCAAGCAGUUUGUCAUUUGGUCCUGUGUGAAAGCUAGAGCCUUCUCCUUUGUAAUGCCAUCUGAUCUACAGGGACGGAGCCAUCUCCUCAUCCGUCAGGACCUCACUAACCCACUACAUUGGCAAACCAUGUGCAUGGAUCCCUGAAAUAAGCAGUAAGUACCUUCUACAUUUUAGUAAGGCCAAUAUGGUAAGUUUUAAC